rnacentral:rRNA from 1 species
CAUUGUUGGAGAGUUUGAUCCUGGCUCAGGACGAACGCUGGCGGCGUGCUUAACACAUGCAAGUCGAACGCUGAACCACUUUCGGGUGGGG